rnacentral:rRNA from 1 species
GAUGAACGCUAGCGGGAGGCCUAACACAUGCAAGCCGAGAGGUAUUGUUUCUUCGGAAAUGAGAGAGCGGCGUACGGGUGCGUAACACGUGUGCAACCUGCCUUUAUCUGGGGGAUAGCCUUUCGAAAGGACGAUUAAUACUCCAUAACCUAUUGAACGGCAUCGUUUAAUAUUGAAAGUCCCGGCGGAUAGAGAUGGGCACGCGCAAGGUUGGCUAGUUGGUGAGGUAACGGCUCACCAAGGCGAUGAUCUUUAGGGGGCCUGAGAGGGUGGUCCCCCACACUGGUACUGAGACACGGACCAGACUCCGACGGGAGGCAGCAGUGAGGAAUAUUGGUCAAUGGGUGCAAGCCUGAACCAGCCAUCCCGCGUGAAGGACGACUGCCCUAUGGGUUGUAAACUUCUUUUGUAUAGGGAUAAACCUACCCUCGUGAGGGUAGCUGAAGGUACUAUACGAAUAAGCACCGGCUAACUCCGUGCCAGCAGCCGCGGUAACAC